rnacentral:rRNA from 1 species
CGAACGUUAGCGGCGGGCCUAACACAUGCAAGUCGAACGAGAAAAUCCCUUCGGGGGUGAGUACAGUGGCGCACGGGUGAGGAACGCGUAGGUAAUCUACCCUUUGGCGGGGGACAACAUUCCGAAAGGAAUGCUAAUACCGCGUAAGACCACGCCCACUGCGGUGGAAGUGGUAAAAGGUGCCUCAAAGCACCACCAGAGGAUGAGCCUGCGUCCCAUCAGCUUGUUGGUAAGGUAAUGGCUUACCAAGGCUAAGACGGGUAGCUGGUCUGAGAGGAUGAUCAGCCACACUGGCACUGGAACACGGGCCAGACUCCUACGGGAGGCAGCAGUGAGGAAUAUUGGGCAAUGGGCGCAAGCCUGACCCAGCCACGCCGCGUGUGUGAUGAAGGCCUUCGGGUCGUAAAGCACUGUGGGGAGAGACGAAACAGCGCGCCAGGAAAUGGGUGCGCCUUGACGGUACCUCCUUAGCAAGCACCGGCUAACUCU